CACCGAGCAACGAACCCCCCCUGUUGCUUGCCUCGGGCACUCGGCAACAGUUUUUGGUGCUCAACGUGGGGCUCGAGGUUGCUAUUUAGCCUUGCCCGGACCCCUCCCGGCGGUCGACUGAUUGCGGCGACAACCGAUGCCCAGCGCGCACCGGUGAGUUCAUCGGGGGCCUGGGAGGAGACGCGAUUUGAUCGACCAUGGAGGGCACAACGGUGCAAUGCGUUCAUAUAGUGGAGAAGCGACUGUGGGCGAUGGUGUGGAACCGGACCCUUGGAUAAGGUAUACCAAAGACUUACAGCCUCUCCCAUUGGCUGCACCUGUCCACUCCUUGCAGCCAGGCGACUCCGUGCUUGUUCAUAUCUGGAAAGACGAGCCUCUCCAAGAGAAGUGGAAGGGACCCCACACUGUCCUGCUGGUUUCCCACACAGUGGCAAAGGUUGAGGGACACAAAAACUGGAUCCACCACUCUCGCCUGAAGGCUGUGCCACUCCUCCGUCAACGGGACGGUGGACCAUCCAGCCCAUCAACACUUCGCCUGCCGACAAUCUUGGACUCAAGUUAUUGUUUAA